rnacentral:rRNA from 1 species
AGGACGAACGCUGGCGGCGUGCUUAACACAUGCAAGUCGAGCGGUAAGGCCUUUCGGGGUACACGAGCGGCGAACGGGUGAGUAACACGUGGGUGAUCUGCCCUGCACUUCGGGAUAAGCCUGGGAAACUGGGUCUAACACCGGAUAUGACCUCCUAUCGCAUGGUGGGUGGUGGAAAGAUUUAUCGGUGCAGGAUGGGCCCGCGGCCUAUCAGCUUGUUGGUGGGGUAAUGGCCUACCAAGGCGACGACGGGUA